CACGUAGGCACCAAGCGUUGUCCGGAUUUAUUGGGCGUAAAGAGCUCGUAGGCGGUUGAGUAAGUCGGGUGUGAAAACUCUGGGCUUAACCCAGAGCCGCCACCCGAUACUGCUCUGACUUGAGUUCGGUAGGGGAGCAGGGAAUUCCUAGUGUAGCGGUGAAAUGCGCAGAUAUUAGGAGGAACACCGGUGGCGAAGGCGCUGCUCUGCCGAUACUGACGCUGAGGAGCGAAAGCGUGGGUAGCAAACAGG
rnacentral:rRNA from 1 species